UGGGGAAUAUUGCGCAAUGGGGGAAACCCUGACGCAGCCAUGCCGCGUGAGUGAAGAAGGUCUUCGGAUCGUAAAGCUCUUUCAACGGUGAAGAUGAUGACGGUAGCCGUAGAAGAAGCCCCGGCUAACUUCGUGCCAGCAGCCGCGGUAAUACGAAGGGGGCUAGCGUUGUUCGGAAUUACUGGGCGUAAAGCGCGCGUAGGCGGAUUGUUAAGUCGGGGGUGAAAUCCCGGGGCUCAACCCCGGAACUGCCUUCGAUACUGGCAAUCUAGAGAUCUGGAGAGGCGAGUGGAAUUCCAAGUGUAGAGGUGAAAUUCGUAGAUAUUUGGAGGAACACCAGUGGCGAAGGCGGCUCACUGGCUCGAUACUGACGCUGAGGUGCGAAAGUGUGGGGAGCAAACAGGAUUAGAUACCCUGGUAGUCCAUGCCGUAAACGUUGGGCACUAGGUGUGGGUCUCAACCAACGAGAUCCGCGCCGUCGCUAACGCAUUAAGUGCCCCGCCUGGGGAGUACGGUCGCAAGACUAAAACUCAAAUG
rnacentral:rRNA from 1 species